rnacentral:rRNA from 1 species
AAAUCAGGUAGGACUACCNGCUGAACUUAAGCAUAUCAAUAAGCGGAGGAAAAGAAACUAACAAGGAUUCCCCUAGUAACUGCGAGUGAAGCGGGAAAAGCUCAAAUUUGAAAUCUGGUAGUCUUUGGCUGCCCGAGUUGUAAUCUAGAGAAGUGUUA